AUUGUCUAUUAAAGGAGAUGUGGUUGAAGGAGCAGGUGUUGGAUGCGGUGCGCAUAAAAGGAAUUCAAGAGACAAUCCAGGAUUUCUUAACGACCAAGUCCUGAAUCCCGGCGGCGAGUGCUACUUCAACCUGAGGAGCCAAUGAAACCAAAUCACGAUGAUCAUUUAUACGAUGCUUGAAUGGUGGAGAUAAAUUUUGUUGUAAAUACUUUGUCUGUGAUGCAUAUGUGUAAAUAUUAUAUUAUAGACCUAUAGAUACAUAUAAUAUAUAUAUAGUGUUUUAUAGUAUAUUUAUAUGUAAUGCUUCAAAUUAUAUAAAUUAUAGGUGCACGUUUCCAUAAACUAGCAGCAAACAAUACGGAUUCAAAAAUAAUAAUAACAUAAUUUGAAACCCUAAAUGAAAAACCAAAAGAAAAGAUAAGGAAAAAAGAAAAAACUCUUUAGUCCCAGUUGGUAACACCAACCGAGACUAAAAGUGGAAGCCAGGUGGCACACCGUGGCGCACCUUUUAGUCCCGGUUGUCGGUACCAACUGGGACUAAAGGUGGACCUUUAGUCCCGGCUCGUGGAACUGGGACUAAAGGUGGGACAUUUAGUCCCGAAACCAUAGCCCUGGUUCCGUAGCCGGGACUAAAGGCCCUUACGGCCC
rnacentral:lncRNA from 1 species